GAAUGAAAGCUACCAGAUUAUCAAAUGGAUGCUGCCUAGCAACAACGUCUGCCUCCAUACCAGGCGGCCGAGUGUGGCUGGGGUCGACAGAGAACAGUCCUUGUGGUCUGCAGAGUAUCACUUCUUCCGUUAGGACCAGAGUCAACCUGCUCCUGUUGUGUCCUAUACCCCUCUUGUGAAGGACAUCCUGGUAUCAACGUAUCCAUUCUGAACUUGGAGUUGAACUUGGAGGAACGAGAGUGACGGCUCCUCGACUAAUCACAACAUUACAGCUUACCGUGUAGAUCUCCAUAAGCUUUUAUGAGCUCAUAAGGAUUUAUGAGCUGUCUUCACACACAUCAGAAGAGGGCCUCAGAUCCCAUUACAGGUGGUUGUGAGCCACCAUGUGGUUCUUGGAUUUGAACUCAGGACCUCUGGAAGAGCAGUCAGCGCUCUUAACCACUGAGCCAUCUCUCCAGCCCCUUCCCCUACGCAGGCUACCUCACAUCCCGUGGCUCUCAGAUUAAAGCUGGGAGAUUUCGAGAUUCCGAGAAGAGAACAUAUCCUGAUGAAUGACCUACAAAGAAGUGACGGGCAGAGAAAGGACUUGAUGCCCUUGUGUCAUGUGCUGAGAUGGUGUCGGAGGAGACAAAUGAAACAGGACAGGUGCGGCUGCCAUUUCCCCAAAGGACAAAGACUUCUCAGAAAAGCUGACUGAUAUGGGAGUGAGAGCCGUCCAAAGGACUUGCUAUGAAUGAUACAGGAAACCUCAGAUUCUUCAGAGACCCUGAUCACGUGUCAGUCACAACAACUGGAUAUGUCCACCUUUCUCCUUUAUGGUGUCAUACAGACUUGAGGGCGUUUGUGAUGUCCCUUUUGCCUUUGGAGUCAGAAAUGGGAGUGUGCACGUGAAAAAUCCCUUUACAAGUCAUAAAAAUCACUCAUUCUCAAUCGCUCAUGAAUAAAAACAAUAUCCCACACACGUGAGAAAAGAAAACAGACGUCUGGCAGCAGGACCGAGAGCAUACUGUUUCCAGAAUUCUUGCAAGACAAAAUGGAGUUGGAUCACUGCAGUUGAGGGGGAAAAAAAAUGAAAACAGAUGUUUCUUAAGAAUAUACAUCUCCUCCUCUUUGUUUACUCUCUUGCUCUCCCUACCCAGCCAUGCUGCCCCAGCCCCUGAAAACUGUGUUCUAAUCUGCAGAAGCCCCACGCUCUCCGAGACGGUGAGGCUGUUCAGCUGCAGAGAGCAGAUUUCUUCCAGCAGAUGUUUUAUAUUAUCUAGAUGUGCGCCUCGAGAAAGUGUCUGUUCGCGGUGCCAAAGAAAACAAUUGUGUGUAGCAGGACUUUGUUCCUCUGCCUAAAAAGAAAAACGUCCCCAAACAAGCUGACAGCUGCAAAUGGUUAGAAAUAAACUGGCUACCCCUCCGCUCUUCGCCUCCCUUCCUCUGCCCUUCCCCAGCCCCUUUGUGUCACCCUCUAGUCUCUCGAGGUGGUUGGAGCAGAAGAAAGAGAAAAGGUUAACAUGUGAUUUUGUGUUCUGAACAGAUUAUUAAUUCGUUCAGACAUGCCAUUUUCCGGGCACAGAAAGCACUGUUUCGGCCACACAAAGGAGCAACUGUAAAUACAAUAUGCCCGAGUGUCAUCCUUCUGCUUCUCCAACACCAUUGUUCAGCUAUAGCAGGCUGCCCCUCACCCAUAUCUCCAGGAUGGCCUCCUCUGUUCCUGGCUGUCAUAGCAUGGACACGCAGGGGGACGCAGACUGAAGAAGACCCAAGAACACUAGAUUACGUAUAGAUGGGCAAUAAAAACAAUUAGGAGAAAAGGAAGGGAGAAGGGAGGG